rnacentral:ribozyme from 1 species
GCCAGUAUACACGUUUAUCAAUGGUUAAAAAUAAGAAAGAAAAAAGAGGGAAAGAUAUAAAGAAAGGAACUCUCCCACUGACAUCCUCAAUAACUGCUAUAUUUCUAGCUUAUUACU